GCGACUGGGAGAGACUCUAAGAGACUCGUCUUAGGGUAAUACCUUAAGCCCGGUCGC
rnacentral:ncRNA from 1 species